rnacentral:rRNA from 1 species
GACGAACGCUGGCGGCGUGCCUAAUACAUGCAAGUAGAACGCACAGUUUAUACCGUAGCUUGCUACACCAUAAACUGUGAGUUGCGAACGGGUGAGUAACGCGUAGGUAACCUGCCUGGUAGCGGGGGAUAACUAUUGGAAACGAUAGCUAAUACCGCAUAAUAUUAAUUAUUGCAUGAUAAUUGAUUGAAAGAUGCAAUUGCAUCACUACCAGAUGGACCUGCGUUGUAUUAGCUAGUAGGUGAGGUAACGGCUCACCUAGGCGACGAUACAUAGCCGACCUGGGAGGGUGAUCGCCAACCCUGGGAUGGGGACACGGCCCAGACCCCUACGGGAGGCAGCAGUGGGGAACCUUGGGAAAGGGAGGAAAGCUGGACCGAGAAAGGCGGGGGGAGUGAAGAAGGUUUCCGGACCGUAAAGCGUUGUUUUAGGGGAAGACCGGGUGGGGGAGGGAAAAGUCCAACUUGGGACGUUAUUUUACAGAAAGGGACGGCUAACUACGU